rnacentral:rRNA from 1 species
CACGUAGGGGGCGAGCGUUGUCCGGAUUUAUUGGGCGUAAAGAGCUCGUAGGCGGCUCAGUAAGUCGGGUGUGAAAACUCCAGGCUCAACCUGGAGACGCCACCUGAUACUGCUGUGGCUAGAGUCCGGUAGGGGAGCAUGGAAUUCCUGGUGUAGCGGUGAAAUGCGCAGAUAUCAGGAGGAACACCAGUGGCGAAGGCGGUUCUCUGGGCCUUACCUGACGCUGAGGAGCGAAAGCGUGGGGAGCGAACAGG